AUUGAACGCUGGCGGAAUGCUUUACACAUGCAAGUCGAACGAUGAACCUUAGCUUGCUAGGGGGAUUAGUGGCGAACGGGUGAGUAACAUAUCGGAACGUACCUAGUAAUGGGGGAUAACUAGUCGAAAGAUUAGCUAAUACCGCAUACGCCCUGAGGGGGAAAGUAGGGGAUCUUCGGACCUUACGUUAUUAGAGCGGCCGAUAUCUGAUUAGCUAGCCGGUGGGGUAAAGGCCUACCAAGGCGACGAUCAGUAGCUGGUCUGAGAGGACGACCAGCCACACGGGAACUGAGACACGGUCCAGACUCCUACGGGAGGCAGCAGUGGGGAAUUUGGGACAAUGGGGGCAACCCUGAUCCAGCCAUUCCGCGUGAGUGAAGAAGGCCUUCGGGUUGUAAAGCUCUUUCGCAAGGGAAGAAAACUUACAUUCUAAUAAAGUGUGAGGCUGACGGUACCUUGAUAAGAAGCACCGGCUAACUACGUGCCAGCAGCCGCCGUAA
rnacentral:rRNA from 1 species